rnacentral:rRNA from 1 species
UACAGAGGUCUCGAGCGUUAGGCGGAAUCACUGGGCUUAAAGCGUGUGUAGGUGGAUCGUUAAGUACCUUGUGAAAGCCCGGGGCUCAACUCCGGAACUGCCUUUAAGACUGCAUCGCUUGAAUCCAGGAGAGGUGAGUGGAAUUCCGAGUGUAGAGGUGAAAUUCGUAGAUAUUCGGAAGAACACCAGUGGCGAAGGCGGCUCACUGGACUGGUAUUGACGCUGAGGUGCGAAAGCGUGGGGAGUAAACAGG